rnacentral:rRNA from 1 species
CAGAGUAUCAUUGGAGGGCAAGUCUGGUGCCAGCAGCCGCGGUAAUUCCAGCUCCAAUAGCGUAUAUUAAAAUUGUUGCAGUUAAAAAGCUCGUAGUUGAAUUUCUGCUGCAUUGCUUGUGUCCCUCUGGGGUCUGUGCAUGUGGCUUUUUUCGGACGGAGUUUCUUUGUCUGAAUGUUUACUUUGAGAAAAUUAGAGUGCUCAAAGCAGGCUUUCGCCUUGAAUAGUUUAGCAUGGAAUAAUAAAGUAGGACUUUGGUUCUAUUUUGUUGGUUUUAGGUACCAAAGUAAUGGUUAAUAGGAACAGUUGGGGGCAUUCGUAUUUAACUGUCAGAGGUGAAAUUCUUAGAUUUGUUAAAGACGAACUACUGCGAAAGCAUUUGCCAAGGAUGUUUUCAUUAAUCAAGAACGAAAGUUAGGGGAUCGAAGACGAUCAGAUACCGUCGUAGUCCUAACCAUAAACUAUGCCGACUAGAGAUUGGAGGUCGUC